rnacentral:rRNA from 1 species
UACGUAGGGGGCAAGCGUUGUCCGGAUUUAUUGGGCGUAAAGAGCUCGUAGGUGGUUCGGUAAGUCGGAUGUGAAAUCUCCAGGCUCAACCUGGAGGGGUCAUUCGAUACUGCCGUGACUAGAGGUCGGUAGGGGAGUGUGGAAUUCCUGGUGGAGCGGUGAAAUGCGUAGAGAUCAAGAGGAACACUCGUGGCGAAAGCGAGCUACUGGACAAUUCCUGACGCUGAGGCUCGAAGGCUAGGGUAGCGAAAGGG